rnacentral:lncRNA from 1 species
CGGGGACCCGCCCGCGGGGGGCGCGUGACGCCCUGUGGCGGGGCUGGGCCGCGGGUCCCGCGCCGGGAGCCCCUGAGGGGUGAGCCCCCUGAGGGGUGAGCCCCCUCACGGCGGGGCCGGGGCUGCCAAAAAUUCAUUACGGCUCUGCCCGAAAGCGAAUGCGAAGCUCUUCACGCAGUUACUGCUAAGCUUUUUCCUAUUUUUGUUUAUUUAUUAUGCCAAUGUAUUUCAAGUCUUUGAGUUAGAACACCUUUGCAUGCACAUAUUUUCCUCUCUAAAAAUUUGCUAAAUUGUUUUGCUGGAUAUAUGAACUCUCAACUUGUUUGGGCAUUUUUAGCAGUAGAGUCCUCAGACCUUGCAGGCAAAGGUUGGAAAGAUCGUUCAGGGCUGUGCACAGGGGAACAGCAGUGAUCUGCAGCAGCUGCUUGUCCAAGCCCGGAAAGGACUAGUGACAAAGCAAAUUAAUUCGUUUGUCAGCUCCGUGCCUUCUGUUUAAUGCACGUGCUAGCAGCGAGCCACAUUCUUUCACUGCGAUCCAAAUAUUUUGUGAUAAUGCGACGAUGUUCCUCCAAUGCUUACUGAAAAUAUCCUUUAAAGGUGGUUUUGGACAGCUGUAAUUCUCCUGCACUGAGAGAGGCCUUUCAGCAUUGUCUUCAAUCAGCAUUUUGAAUGAAGUGCUUAAUUGUGCCAAAAAUUCAUUGCAGUACUUUUCCCCUCAUAGGCUGAAGAGAAGACUGAUGCUCAAAGUCAGAAGCUGGGAAGUGGGGUCCGCUGUGUUUUUGAACGGCAGAAGAAGUAUGAAGAAAAAUAGAAUAUGCUGGAAAUCUGACAGUCUCCCUCAUGAGACCUCACCAUGGCAUGCUGUGGAUGGCACCUGUCCUGCCAGGAGAGCUGGCUCAGGCACUGGUGGCUGCAGCUCAGGAGUGAGCACCACUGCAGCCGAGCAGUGCUGUGAAGUGGUGCCUUUGUCUUCAGUAGCUUUUUACCAUAUUGUGGGCAUCCAGCCCUGCAGCAUCAGAUGGGUGUGGGGAUGAACAGCCAUGGAUAACACUUCUUUUCCAUUUUCUGUAGCAGUUACAGCAUUACAUUGUAAAACCUACAUAUUAAACUAAAUUAAAAAUAUCCCCU